UAAUGCUAUAUUCUUGGUCGCCCUUUUUUUUUCUUCAAAGUUCUAUUUUUUAAAAAUAAAUAAAUAAACAACCAUGAAGGUACUUGCUACUACU
rnacentral:ribozyme from 13 species